CGUGUAGGCGGUUUAAUAAGUCAGAUGUAAAAGCCCCCGGCUCAGCCGGGGAUAGUCAUUUGAAACUGUUAGGCUUGAGUGCGAGAGAGGGUAGUGGAAUUCCCAGUGUAGCGGUGAAAUGCGUAGAUAUUGGGAAGAACACCAGUAGCGAAGGCGGCUACCUGGCUCGCAACUGACGCUAAGGCGCGAAAGCGUGGGGAGCAAACA
rnacentral:rRNA from 1 species